UAUGGUCUAUACAAUCGAAAGGGUAUG
rnacentral:sRNA from 1 species